GACGAACGCUGGCGGCGUGCUUAACACAUGCAAGUCGAACGAUGAAGCCGGAGCUUGCUCUGGUGAAUUAGUGGCGAACGGGUGAGUAACACGUGAGUAACCUGCCCUUGACUCUGGGAUAACUGCGGGAAACUGUAGCUAAUACCGGAUACGACCCUCGGAGGCAUCUCCUGGGGGUGGAAAGAAUUUCGGUCAAGGAUGGACUCGCGGCCUAUCAGCUAGUUGGUGAGGUAAAGGCUCACCAAGGCGACGACGGUUAGCCGGCCUGAGAGGGUGACCGGCCACACUGGGACUGAGACGCGGCCCAGACUCCUACGGGAGGCAGCAGUGGGGAAUAUUGCACAAUGGGCGCAAGCCUGAUGCAGCAACGCCGCGUGAGGGAUGACGGCCUUCGGGUUGUAAACCUCUUUUAGCAGGGAAGAAGCGAAAGUGACGGUACCUGCAGAAAAAGCACCGGCUAACUACGUGCCAGCCGCCGCGGUAA
rnacentral:rRNA from 1 species